GGUUGGAACCACUUGAGUCAGGAGAUGAUGGCGCCGCUGCUCCUGUCGUCGGUGCUCAGAGGUAACAGCUUCAUCCUAUUUUCAGCAGCGAUUCUUCUCCUCGCAGACGUUUGUCUGGGUGUGGAAAUCACACAGACACCUUCAGAGGUUCUGAAAAAACCCGGCGAUGAGGUCCAGCUGGUCUGUAGCCACGGGAAGACCGACUACACCUACAUGCAGUGGUACCAGAAACCCCCCGGAGAUCCGGCUCUCAAACGGAUCGGACACUUGAAUUACGGCACCCCGGAGUUAGAGACGGCCUUCAAAAACCGCUUCAGGAUCUCCGGGGAUCUGAGCGGCGAGAAGGCCAAGAACGCCUCCGUGUUCAUCCAGAGGCUGCAGGUGGAGGACUCUGGCGUGUUCUACUGUGCAGCCAGCUAUGCACGCCAACAGCAAACCCACAGGCCUUCAUACAAAAACUCAAGCCCCGCCCACGUGUGAUACCAGCAGCUUUAUCAGUAACUCUCACUUCCUCUGCAGAGUGAAGCUCAGACAUGAAGCAUGUUCAUGAGACGUUUCUGUAGUAAGAAUUGAUCCAGACUACGACUAUGAUCUGGUUUCUGAUCAAUUCUCUAAAUCCAGGAAGUAGUCUGCUCCUUCAGGUCCACUGACGUCAUCAAAAACCUAAAAGACUCGGUUCUGGUUUGC